rnacentral:tRNA from 1 species
GGUUCCUUAGCUCGAAGGUCGAGCAGGCGGCUCAUAACCGCUGGGACCUGGUUCGAUUCCAGGAGGGACCACCA